rnacentral:rRNA from 1 species
GAUGAACGCUGGCGGCGUGCCUAAUACAUGCAAGUCGAGCGAACAGACGAGGAGCUUGCUCCUCUGACGUUAGCGGCGGACGGGUGAGUAACCCGUGGAUAACCUACCUCUAAGCCUGGGAUAACUUCGGGAAACCGGAGCUAAUACCGGAUAAUAUAUUGAACCGCAUGGUUCAAUAGUGAAAGACGGUUUUGCUGUCACUUAUAGAUGGAUCCGCGCCGCCUUAGCUAGUUGGUAAGGUUACGGCUUACCAAGGCAACGAUGCGUAGCCGACCUGAGAGGGUGGUCGGCCACACUGGAACGGAGACACGGUCCAGACUCCUACGGGAGGCAGCAGUAGGGAAUCUGCCGCAAUGGGCGAAAGCUUGACGGAGCAACGCCGCGUGAGUGAUGAAGGUCUUCGGAUCGGAAAACUCUGUUAUUAGGGAAUAACAAAUGUGUAAGUAACUAUGCACGUCUUGACGGUACCUAAUCAGAAAGCCACGGCUAACUACGUG